rnacentral:rRNA from 1 species
AAUAGAUACCCUGGUAGUCCACGCCGUAAACGAUGAGAACUAGCUGUCAGGGCCUUUCAGGCUUUGGUGGCGCAGCUAACGCAUUAAGUUCUCCGCCUGGGGAGUACGGUCGCAAGAUUAAAACUCAAAGGAAUUGACGGGGGCCUGCACAAGCGGUGGAGCAUGUGGUUUAAUUCGAAGCAACGCGCAGAACCUUACCAGCGUUUGACAUCCUGAUCGCGGUUACCAGAGAUGGUUUCCUUCAGUUCGGCUGGAUCAGUGACAGGUGCUGCAUGGCUGUCGUCAGCUCGUGUCGUGAGAUGCUGGGUUAAGUCCCGCAACGAGCGCAACCCUCGUCCUUAGUUGCCAUCAUUCAGUUGGGCACUCUAAGGAAACCGCCGGUGAUAAGCCGGAGGAAGGUGGGGAUGACGUCAAGUCCUCAUGGCCCUUACGCGCUGGGCUACACACGUGCUACAAUGGCGGUGACAGUGGGCUGCAAUCCCGCAAGGGUGAGCUAAUCUCCAAAAGCCGUCUCU